UUUUUUGAGUUCCUUAUGUAUUCUGGAAAUUAAUCCUUUGAUACAUAGGUUGCAAAUAUUUUCUUCUAUACUGUAGGUUGUCUCUACUCUAUUGAUUGUUUUAUUUGCUGUGCAGAAUCCUUUUAGUUUGGUGUAAUCCCUUUUGUCUAUGUUGGCUUUUGUAGUUUGUGCUUUUGAAGUUUUAUCUAAAGAAUAUUUUUCAAGGACAAGUCAUGAAGCAUUUUCUCUGUAUUUUCUUCUGUUAGUUUCAUAGUUUAGGACCUUACUUUCAAGUCUUUAAUCCAUUUUGCGUUGGUUUUUUGUGUAUGGUGAAAGACAGGUUCUAGUUUCAUUUAUCUGCAUGUGGAUAUCCAGUUUUCCAAGCACUGGAUAUUGAAGAGAGUGUCUCUUCCCCACUUUCAUAUAUUCCUAGUUUACAUCUUUCCAUAAUGUCUCCUCUCUGAAGAUAUCUCCUAUUACUCUCUUCUUGCAAUCUCUGUAAUAUCACAAUCUAUUUUUCAAUAAGCCAGUUUCCAGAAAUGCUCAAAAUUUGAGACUAUAAAUUAUCUCUGUGUAUAGUAAUUCUUCAGUUGGUUGAACAGUAGUUAGGAACCUUCUUGCUGUUGAUUCAUCUUCUAAUACCCACACAGGUGUAGGAACAUGAAAAUAGAACAAUGCAAGAACACCUCACAUUGCAUCGCAACUGACAAUUUCAUGGAAAAAAAAAUAAACCACUUCCUUAGCUUUGGAAAGGACGAACUAGUUAAUGAGGUAGUGGAUAAUUGUAUGUAAAUUUUUUAAUUGAGCAGUGUUCUGUAGAAUCAGAGAGACCUGCAUUUGAAUCCUGAUUUUUUUUCUUUUCUAGAUGUAUUAAAUUGUUCAAGUUAUUUAACUUUUCUGUUACACAGUUUGCUCAUCUAUGCUAGUAAAACAAGCCUACAGGUUAUUGUGAAAAUUGAAUUAGUAUGAAAUUUUUGAGAGACAUGUAUAUGGCACAUAGUAGGGCAUCUAUAUGUAUAUUCCUUUUAUUUGUGGCAGCAGUGAACAGAUACCAUCUUAUUCAUUUAAUUAUUCUGGAAAUAGCUCUUUGAUUUUGAGGCUCAUUUCUCAAAGUCAGCGAUUAUUUUUAAUGCUGAGAAUGAAUGGCAGAGUGGGCUUUGUUUGCAUUUUUAUCAUGUAAAGUUUAAUGUAAGAUUUAUAAUAGUGUAUAAAAUAAUAAAUGCCUUGUAAAAAUAAAUGUGUGUGUAACAGACAACUCAGAGAAAAUGGAACAUAGAAAAUUCUCUUUUAUGUAACAUGUAAUUAACCUGUAGAAGAUUUUCCUGUAUCUAGUUAGACAACUAACUAAUUGCUGAGCCAGUUAAACAAUUGGACAGAUAUGAAAUUAACAUUAAUAGGGAAAUAUGACUGUGCUUUAGGGAAUAUGCUUAUCAGAAAUAAAGUAUGUGCUUAGGAUUUAUGGUUAUGCCACAUUCUGCCCAUGGCUGUAAAUUUCUUUCUAGCACCUUGGCUAUUGUUGUGGGUCUGUGUGAGCUACCACCAAGUUGGAAGCCAGCUAAUAUCCAAGAAUGUUUUCUCUGAUCUCCACCCAUUAUCUUUUCUUUUUGGUUAACUGACAUCCAGGGAGGCUCACUUGACCUGAGAACAAGGAACAGUUUUUAGUAAAAAGUACCAGACACAGGCAUAUACUUGCUUCCUACUGAAACAGAAACUAUAUUAUUACAACUCUUCCAGAGUCUACAGAGGAAGUUCAGAAGUUCCUGCAUCAGGGGACUGACUCUACCAAAUUUUCAACUCACAAGUAGCAUUCCCCACGAAUUGCCCUACCUGGAGUUAUCUAUUAACAAUUAAAGAACUGAAGAAAAGCUUUAUGGUCUGGAAUCUCAAGGAGAUAGAGUGGAAGAGUUUGCGUGCAGGUGUGUGCUUGAAUAUGUCAGUGUUUGUCCUACUCAUUCCAUCACUUCCAAGUGUUUCUGGGAUGGUGGCUUCCACUCAUGAAGAACUUAAGAAGUGGAGUGGUGUUGGCUUUGACAGAGAACCUGAGGUGUGUUCUCCACUAAUCAGGGUGUGCCGUGCUACUAAAAUUGCAUUUCUGGCACUUGCUUUCCCACUCUGUCCCUUAAGGCAAAGUUACUGUGACAGAAUAAAGAGUGGGAUAGAAGAAUAAAUUCUGGCUUUGAAAUAUUAGAUAUGGUUUCCUCCCCUUUUCAUGUUUCAAACCCUCAGAAAAAUUUGAAGAUUUCACUGGGUAUCAAUCUCCAAUACAUAAUAUAAUAAUAAUAAUAAUAAUAAUGAAGUAAUUGCUUUACGAGGAAUAAAAAUAUGGGUAAGACAUUGGAGUCUUAGCCUCUUACCAUGGAGACUUUGGCAUUAUCAUAAUUUUCUUACUAUAUAUUCUCGUGGUUUAUAAAUCUCUCCUCAGUAAUCUCAUUGCCAGUUUUCCCCAAACUCAGUCAUCUUAUGAGUGAAUGCCAAAUUCAUCUUCUUGAAUCAUGUGACUCCUUAUUUACAACACUUCCAAAGUCCGUUCAUGCCAUUCCUCAAUUCCAAUACUUUCAAAGACUUCUCAUUUCCUACAAUUAAGACUCAUUUUUUUCUGCAUGGCAUUUAAUGUCCAAUAUCUAAACUCACUUCUCUCUUCUUUCUUUAGUGAGCUGUACUCUCAGGUUUUCUCAACUGGAGUGCUUUAGGCUUUUCUAGGGGCAACAACAUUUUGUUCUGUGUCACUAAUUACAGAAUUAUUAGCCUUCUUGGCUUCAGUGCAGUUAAUGUCAACAACACUUCUCAGUCAUUGUGACAACCAAAACUGCUCCCAUCAACUUCUGAAACCCCAAGGUGGUAUGCUUUACUCCCCUUCAAGAUCUGCUCUUGAACUUUAUUUGCCUUCCUGCCUUCAUUCCCUGUUCCUGCUGUUUCCUUAGCAUGAAAUAUCACUCCCUCACAUCUUCAUACCCUUAUCCAUGAUGCAUUAAUGAAGUUAACCUUGAUCCUUAGUUCAAAGAGAUUUCUUCUUCUUCUUGAACUUCAAAGGCGAUUCACUGAGUGCUUACCACAUAUCAGGCAUUCUUGUCAGGCGCUUUCUAUUGCAUAAUUUCCACUUAAAAUUGUGCUUCCUUGCUCAUAGUCAGUUGUGCUGAAAUUUGCCCACUUUGGAAGGACAACACCUCCCUCCCUCUACCAUCUUCCUCCCACCAGAGGGAAAGUUAGAGGUGAAAUAUAAGAUCUUUAGUAAUAUUAGUACUUAGCUUCCAGCUGUUUCUGAGGUACAAAUCACCCUUUACUAACUUUCAUAAAGUCAGUAUAUGGACUUAGCUACUGCCUAGACUUGUCAUUUUCUUUCCUCAUCUUCUAUACCAGAUCAAUGUGCCCUUACGUCAACAUCUGUAUCUGAUCUCUCUUCUUAUUUCCUAAGAACCCCAGCAGAGUGCACUGGGCUCUCAAAUAGGCCUCAAAAAUACUUGCUGUAAAACCCUGGAUACUCAAAUAAUGACCAAUGUAUUCCAAUUUUAAGUGCUUAUUUAAAAGAGUAAAGAUGUCGAAUUUCAAAAUCUUGACUAUUGGGGCAAAGGUUGGAUGAGAGCAGCUUAAAACCUUAAAACUAAAGUAUUUAAUGGCAUUAAUUUCAAUGUUUUAAGCAAAUAUAUAAAUAAUGCUAUACACUAAAACUAACGUAAGAUGCCAGGAAAAGUCUAACACUUUGAGGAUGUUAAGGUGUAAUGAUUCAGAAAACAUAAAGAAGGAUGAUUGCACAACUCCCAUUAACAUCAGUGAAAUUCAUAUGGUAAAAUUAACACUUACCUCAGUGGAAGCAUGACCUCAGCUGUCAUUGGGCAUGUUACUUUUCAUGGUGUGUGCUUUUCUCCUUUAAUUUCAGGCAAUUUAAUUUUCUGCCCAUUUCACAAAGAAAUGUCAGACUGAAAGACUGGAGCAUUGAUGUUGAACAUCUUUCUUCACACAUUGUACUUACAGUAAAAUUGAUUUUGUUAUCCUUGAUAUCACUAAAGGCAAGAAAUGCAAUAUUGUUUCAUGUAAACUCACCUUUUAAAGUAGGAAUUUAAGCACAAAUGACAGUCAUAUUCAUAAAACAUCUUAGUAGGAAUGUGAAAUUUUAAAAGUAAAUUUUAAGAAAAGUAAUAAGUAAAUUAUAAUAAAAAGUAAAUAAAUUUCAAAAAGCCAUUAUUGAAAAACAGUAAUAUUUUUGUGUUCCUCUAAAAUUUCAGGAUGCACUAUAUAGAAAUUCAAAAAUAAUGAAUACAUGGAUUCUGUGUUUCUAUUAAUUUUCAUAAGUCAAAUAUAGAAUAAUGGUUAAGAGGACAGUCUCUGAAUCUAGACUGUUCACAGAUUGGCUCUACCAGUUACCACCUCUGUCAUCUUAAGCGAGUUACAUCAUGUUGCUGGACCUGUUUCCUUGUUGAGUAAUUGUAAAUACUGGAAUUACUCCUUCAUAAGAUUGUUGUGAAGGUGAAAUAAAUGCAUUUAAAGCACUUUUAAGACUGCUUAGCACACAGUGAAUGGAAAAUAAAUGUUCAUUAUCUAUAUUAUCUUAUUUUAAACAUGAUAGAGAUUUUGUUGGAAAAAACUAAAGAUAAACCAACAGUUAUAACACUAGUUUCCCUAUUAUGCUCUUUCAAAAUGUAUGUGACAUGAUUAUUAUUUGUAUUAUAUGAAGGAAAAAGAAAUCAAUAUAACAUGUAUGUUAUAUAAUUAUUUUUGAGGACUUGAUUUGUAAAUCUCAGUAAAUAACCAAGAAUGGAACCUAUUACUUAAUCUGUAUGAAAUGUUUUAUCUACUUACCCCUCUCUUAACCCAAGACAUCUAUUCAAUCAAGCUGCUUGAGGAACAUUUAUUGUGAAAUUUUGCAUGCUUAUCACCUAAUACUACUGGCUUAGCACUAGUAGGCACUCAGUAAAUAUUUGUUUAACCCAUUAACCUUUAUCAAAACAAAUAUUCCAAUUUAUUCAUAUAUCACUCCAUCUAGCCAGUGCACCCAAGCAUCCUUCGCCAUGUCCUGGAGUUUUUUCUCUUUUGUCUUUGAGGAGCAAUUUGAGCUUCCCUACCUCCUGAAUUCUUUGCAGUGCUGCUAGUCCACCCUAAUCUCUGCCGACUCAAACCUCUCUCAACGCAGUUCAGAGCGAUAGAGUUUACCACUACAGUGACUUAGAUGUAUGUUGAAUUUGAUCUUUAAAUAAAUCAUAUGCAUCUUAAGGGCACAGAUGAAUUUGAUGCUUCUUAUGUGACAUCUUGCAGUUGUUGUUAACUAAUAAGUAUUAAUUGAUAAUAAUCAACAACCAAAUGAGUGCUUAUUCUUACCUGCCAUGUUAAUCUCUCCAUUUGAAUCUACUUGAAUUAUUCUCUUUUUGUUUCAGUGUUGGAGUGUAAUUGUUCCAGCAUAAAAGAAAGGAAGAUUUGCCAUAUUAUACCAUAUUAUAAACACACACACACACAUACACACAUUGUGUCACUCAUACUUACAAACAUAUACAUACACAUAUAUAUUUUCAUGGGAAAUUAUGGCGGGAUUCUGACUACUAACUCAGAAACACUAAAUUAGUGAAUAUUUCCCCUAUACUCAUAGAUGAACUGGAGAUUAAUUCAGUUUUCCCUGUACUCAGUUUCUCUUGUUAUAGGAGAAGGGGGAUGGUAGAGCAAAUAUUUUGGAGUUCACUAUGGGUCUGACGUAGCUAAAAAUUAGUUGUAGAAAUCAUUAAGAUGGAAUUGAUGUAAUUUCACUUUCCAUUCUAACAUGGCAUUUUGCAUUUCUAAAAACUUGACUUAGCUGGACCGGAGUUUCUAAAGAAUUACUUAGAGAUUCAAACUUUUGUUCAGAGUUAAUGAAACAAUGCAGUGCUUUACUAUAUAUAUUAUAACCAAAUAUUUUAUAAUAAAGAUAGCUGACAUGAACUGAAGGAGAAACUGUUUUAUCCGCAUUUUAUAUAUGAGGAAAUUAAAAGCCCAAGAAGUUAAAUAAUUACUCAAGAAAUGGAUAAGCCAGGAAUUGAACUUAGGAAGUUGGCCCCAAAGCCCACACUUACACUAUACUGCUGACACUACUGACAGAUAUCACUAGUUACCUAAACAAGAAUCCAUGCCACCCACUUCCUUUCUGAGAUCCCAUCUGUGUGACAUUCAUGUUCUUAGUCUCUCUAAAGGCAAGAAUGGAUAUAUAACCUAGUUUUGGCCGAUGGAAUUGGAAGAAAUGCCUUCCAGGUCUUUCAUUUUGUACCCUGUGGGAAAAUAAAAAAGAAAGAGUCGUUGAAAGAAGGUCAGUUUUCCCCUAAUUUUAGACAUUGAUGUGUGAAGAUGCAAUACUUGGAGCUUCUGUAGCCGUACUGUAACUGAAAAGAAGGUCAAGAAAAUUAUAGAAGAAAUGACUCAGAGGCCAUACAUUUUUAAGCAUCUGAACCAACCCUGUACCUCUUUUCUUAUGAAAGUCUUGUCUGUGAGAAUAGUAAUCUUUAUUGUUUAUUGCUAUUUUUUAUAUUCUUACCUGCGCUUCUCCUAACAGAUGAAAAUAUGAAUUUCUAAUUUCUAAGAUAUUUUAAAUUCUCAGAUUCUAUAAAAAUGACAUUUUAUUUAUUCUUAUAAAAAAUUAGUAUUCCCAAAUGAGGAUUUCUAAGCAGCUUAAAUUCUUUUGGGUUUUCAAAUGGAUAUGAUUAUAUUUUUAAGACUGUUUUUUUUUAUUUUUUAUUUUUUGUUUUUCUAUAUAUACUUUAUUCUCUUGACCAGACAUGGAAUACACACACACACACACACACACACACAUUGAUACACUGGUUUUUCUUUAGUUUCUUCCAAUAAAAUCCCUAUCAUGUUUAAAAUAAGAUAAUAUAGAUAAUGAACAUUUAUUUUCCAUUCAGUAUGUGCUAAGCAGUCUUAAAAGUGCUUUAAAUUAAUUUAUUUCAGCUUCACAACAAUCUGAUGAAAUACAACAAUUUUAGUUUUUGAAGUUCAGUUUUUAUUAAAUAUUUUUGAGAUUAGAUAACCACCUUGAUUCAUGAAUGAUUAGUUUGCAAAAAUGUUUUAAAUUAUAUUGAAAAACUAGACCAAAAAAACCUUGAUUUUUAGAAUGUGGAUCUAUUUGACUUUUUAUUUCAUAUAAGAAUCACUGUUAGAAAUAUGAAAGUAUAUUUCAGCUUAAAGGUAGUGACAUUCCCCUUCCCUAUAUUUAAAUUGAACCUAAAUUAAACUUGUAUUAAUCAGUAUCUGUCACAUGAACUCUACCAGCUCCCUUUCACCUAAACAAACAGUCACACACAACAAAAUAGAAAUCUUUUCUCCUCCUUAAAGACUUCAUCUUCAGAUAACCCCAUACUUGUCCACAUUGCCCUACUGGCCUUUCUCUGACCAGAUUGAAGAUAAGAAUUAAAAUCAUUUAAGGAGAUUUCAGAUCUAUGUAAGACACAGUAAUCUUUUCCCAGUUUGUCUGAAUUUGUGUUUGCUUUCAUAAAACAUUGGUUUAUUAGGAGAUAAACAUUUUAAAUAUUUGAAAAUGCCAUCUUCAUUUAAAGCUAAGAGUUUAAUUUCAUUGUGGUAAGCUGGGAUGUGAAGACUUAGAUUUAUUAACAUUAAUAGAAGCAAAUGCUUAAUUUCUAAGCCAUUAAGAUAAGAUAACCAUUCCUUCCAGAGAAUUUCAAUUGAAGAUCAGAAAGUCCUUAGUUAAGGCUGCCACUUACUCUAUAAUUUACUUAUAGUGCCUAACUACCUAUGACGUCAAAGUACAUAAUGCUACAGCCCAUUUCAAAUGAGUCUUUAAUGACAAAGUGACAGUUUCAGCCUUCUGUAAAUAAAAGCACUGAGCAAAACUCAGAGGUUUAGAUGUAUCACUGUGAUCACUCUUUACAAUAUGAAAUAUUGAAGACAACAAAUUGAUAAGAAUGACAAAGACAACACAUCAUAUAAUGUCUUCUGAAGAUUCUAUUAAAGACACAUUUAAAUACGUGUGUUUGACUCCAGUGAAGAAAGCAUUUGACUCUAGUGAAGAUCCCAUUUGGGACUGGAAGUAGCACCCAUUCUCUAAGUACAUAAUAGGGGUUCAAUAAAAAUUUACUUGUUUGCACUGGGAGCAGUGGCUCACACCUGUAAUCCCAGCACUUUGGGAGGCCAAGGUGGACGGAUCAUGAAAUUAAGAGAUCGAGACCAUCCUGGCCAACAUGGUGAAACCCCGUCUUUACUAAAAAUACAAAAAUUAGCUGGGCAUGGUGACACAUGCCUGUAGUCCCAGCUACUCAGAAGGCUGAGGCAGGGGAAUCGAUUUACCCAGGAGGCAGAGGUUGCAAUGAGAUCAUGUCGCUGUACUCCAGCCUGGUGACAGAGUGAAACUCCGUCUGAAAAAAAAAAAAAGAAAGAAAAAAAGAAAAAACUUACUGGUUUGAAUUACAUGGGGUGAUGGAGUGGAAAAGGAGAGGGGAUGGAUUGGGAAAGGUGUAGCCUCAGGAAAA